rnacentral:rRNA from 1 species
CGGAUGAACGCUAGCGGCAGGCCUAACACAUGCAAGUCGAACGGCAGCACAGGAGAGCUUGCUCUCUGGGUGGCGAGUGGCGGACGGGUGAGGAAUACAUCGGAAUCUACCUUUUCGUGGGGGAUAACGUAGGGAAACUUACGCUAAUACCGCAUAAGACCUUCGGGUGAAAGCAGGGGACCUUCGGGCCUUGCGCGGAUAGAUGAGCCGAUGUCGGAUUAGCUUGUUGGCGGGGUAAAAGCCCACCAAGGCGACGAUCCGUAGCUGGUCUGAGAGGAUGAUCAGCCACACUGGAACUGAGACACGGUCCAGACUCCUACGGGAGGCAGCAGUGGGGAAUAUUGGACAAUGGGCGCAAGCCUGAUCCAGCCAUACCGCGUGGGUGAAGAAGGCCUUCGGGUUGUAAAGCCCUUUUGUUGGGAAAGAAAACUUGCGGGCUAAUACCCAGCAAGUCUGACGGUACCCAAAGAAUAAGCACCGGCUAACUUCGUG